ACGGGCACAUCACUUUGAAACACCGGUUUUAGAACGAUCACCGAAGUUAAGCAACGUCGAGCCUGGUUAGUACCUAGAUGGGUGACCGCUUGGUAAUACCUGGUGUUGUAC
rnacentral:rRNA from 1 species